rnacentral:rRNA from 1 species
AUUGAACGCUGGCGGCAGGCCUAACACAUGCAAGUCGGGCGGAUGACGGGAGCUUGCUCCUUGAUUCAGCGGCGGACGGGUGAGUAAUGCCUAGGAAUCUGCCUGGUAGUGGGGGACAACGUUUCGAAAGGAACGCUAAUACCGCAUACGUCCUACGGGAGAAAGCAGGGGACCUUCGGGCCUUGCGCUAUCAGAUGAGCCUAGGUCGGAUUAGCUAGUUGGUGAGGUAAUGGCUCACCAAGGCGACGAUCCGUAACUGGUCUGAGAGGAUGAUCAGUCACACUGGAACUGAGACACGGUCCAGAUUCCUACGGGAGGCAGCAGUGGGGAAUAUUGGACAAUGGGCGAAAGCCUGAUCCAGCCAUGCCGCGUGUGUGAAGAAGGUCUUCGGAUUGUAAAGCACUUUAAGUUGGGAGGAAGGGUUGUAGAUUAAUACUCUGCAAUUUUGACGUUACCGACAGAAUAAGCACCGGCUAACUCUGUGCCAGCCGCCGCCGUAACAC